GCUCCGGUGGCCUAGAAUCUAGAGUGUCCGCCUCAGAUGCAUGAGGUCGCGGGUUCGAAUCCCGGCGGAGCC